UUAAUGAGAGUUUGAUCCUGGCUCAGGACGAACGCUGGCGGCGUGCCUAAUACAUGCAAGUAGAACGCUGAGGAUUGGUGCUUGCACUAAUCCAAAGAGUUGCGAACGGGUGAGUAACGCGUAGGUAACCUACCUCAUAGCGGGGGAUAACUAUUGGAAACGAUAGCUAAUACCGCAUGACACUAGAGUACACAUGUACUUAAGUUAAAAGGAGCAAUUGCUUCACUAUGAGAUGGACCUGCGUUGUAUUAGCUAGUUGGUGAGGUAACGGCUCACCAAGGCGACGAUACAUAGCCGACCUGAGAGGGUGAUCGGCCACACUGGGACUGAGACACGGCCCAGACUCCUACGGGAGGCAGCAGUAGGGAAUCUUCGGCAAUGGACGGAAGUCUGACCGAGCAACGCCGCGUGAGUGAAGAAGGUUUUCGGAUCGUAAAGCUCUGUUGUUAGAGAAGAACGGUAAUGGGAGUGGAAAAUCCAUUACGUGACGGUAACUAACCAGAAAGGGACGGCUAACUACGUGCCAGCAGCCGCGGUAAUACGUAGGUCUCGAGCGUUGUCCGGAUUUAUUGGGCGUAAAGCGAGCGCAGGCGGUUCUAUAAGUCUGAAGUAAAAGGCAGUGGCUCAACCAUUGUAUGCUUUGGAAACUGUAGAACUUGAGUGCAGAAGGGGAGAGUGGAAUUCCAUGUGUAGCGGUGAAAUGCGUAGAUAUAUGGAGGAACACCGGUGGCGAAAGCGGCUCUCUGGUCUGUAACUGACGCUGAGGCUCGAAAGCGUGGGGAGCAAACAGGAUUAGAU
rnacentral:rRNA from 1 species